ACCACAAUCAAAACAUCGAUCAUCCUCUCCAAAACCAUCAUCCUCUGAUCAAAACACUACCUUCCAAGUUUUCACAAUCUUUCUAGUAUGCGAGCGAAGGAGAUGAAGUGGAAGAGAGAAGAGAAGAACUAGUGCGUGGAUAUCAUAUGGCAAAACCCCCCGCUACCGCAAGAAUACAUCUUUCGAAACGGGAUUCGAUUCCUUAGGCCAAACUACUUCGAAUUCAUCGCUCAUGCUAGUGAAAAAUCGAUGGGCUGGGAAAACCAUUGUAGAUUUGUUCGCUGAGGAGUUUAAAAGUCGACCUCGUGAAUAUUAUGUUAGUGCGGUGAAAUGUGAAAUGGAUUAUUUGUUUGAAACUUCGAGAUUUUAAGAACCACAUCACACAACUUCCCAACACACUGAAUUCAUACACUAGAAUACCCAUUCUAGUGCUGUUUCUUCGAUUCUGUUUCAGUUCUAGGUUAAACAUGUUGGAUGGAGGUGAUUCUAAAGGAGGAGGCUGAUGAUCAGGCUUACAGAGGCGAAAGAGCUGCUAAUCUGGUUCUCUCGUACAUUGGAUCAUCUCCUACAUUUGUGGAUUCUUGUUCAUCUUUCUCUUUCUUGAUUGAUUGGGUUGUUUUUAGAAUCUGAAUUAUGGUUUUUUUUUCCAGAUUGGGAAAGUCAUGCAGAUACGUAAAGCUUCAAGGAAUGAUUCACUCACUGAGAUUUCAACCAACCCUUAUGCUUUGACGGCUCAGGAAUGGACCUCUGGAAAGAUGUUGAUGAAAUCAUUUCAUCUUCUAAUAAUGAAAUUGCAAGCCAGUUGUUUGUUCUUCAUGUUAUGAAGCCAUUGCUUUGUUCCAAGUUUGUUGAUCCUGGUAUGCAUGUCUAAGUGUCGAGAGGAUUUUUUGAAUCUGUUGAAAUGAAUGUUAUUCUUCAACGUCCUGCUUGGAGACUCUGCAUAUUGAAUCAGAUCCUUCCUUGCACCUCACCAUGAUUUUAUAGAUUUUGUUGCAUAAAAGUGGAAGAGGACUUCGCCAAUUAAGCAUGAAAGUUGAUGUUUUACCGAGGAGUGCUUCUUACCAGAGCAAUCGUGUCGCCGCGUUGAUCGGUUUAGGAAUAUUGUGUGAAGCUGUGAGGGAAUGUCAAUAGGCUCUAAAUUUCAAUCCUAAUUAUCAUAGGGCUCAUCAUCGUUUGGGUUCUCUGUUCAUCAAAUAGAUGAUUUGAUGGUUUGAUUGAAUGUUCAUUCGUUGGUGAUGCCUCUACGGAAUGGUGUUGAGUAUAGAAAUGGUGGUGUCACAGGUUAGGGCAAGUUGAGAAUGCUAGGAGACACCUUUGUCAUCCUGGAUUAACUCUGAAUUUGACUUAGAUGCUGAAGUUGCAACUGGUGGACAAACAUAUUACUAAAUGUACAGAUGUUAGGAAGGUAAGGGAUUGGAGAAGUGUUCUGACUUCUGAGGGAACCUGAUGGUGCUUCUACUGCUGGAGUUGAUUCUUCUCCUCAGAGCAGUAGCCCUUUUGAAACUUCAUCAAAUUGAGUAAGAACCACUAACAUGUUUGGCUGGGCAAAUGUUACUCUAAAAGAGCAAUAUUGUUGGCUUUGGCGGGGAGGUUUUUAUGUGGGAUAUUGAAGCUGCACUUGCGCCAGUGUCUAAGUGCAACAAUGCUACGCUUCAUGAAUCUACAAAUGGUAUCCAUGGUUCUACCAACUCAUUCUCUCUUGGACUCUAGUUCGAGAAUUCUUGUGAGGUUGGUGUCUUUUCAAAACUUACCAUUGCAUAUUGUUUGGUUGCCAAUGGAGCCUCUGAAAGUUUCUACAGGUUUUAGUCUGUUUUAUUUUGCUCUAUACAUGUCUUCAGUUGAGUGGCAAAACGUAGAGCCUGUGAAGUUGGUGUCUUUUCAAAACUUACCAAUGUCUUAUGAUCAGCUAUGCUGUAAAGUAGCAAAACUUCAUUAGUUGAGUCCAGGUAUAAAAAUGCUUAUACAUGUCUUCUAAUUGCAAGGACUUUGAUUAGUACUUCGUUAACCACUAUUAGUAUGUCCUACUCAUCUCUUUGUUAACCACAAUUCUUUGAUUUUAUUUUUCAUACUGAUAACUUAAGCUAUGUUUGUUAGUUUAGUAUACAAACGUGUAUAGCAUUUAACUGACAGUGUAUAACAUUUAACUUAAAUUAGGUGUUUGUUUAUUUAUAUAAGCUUAAUCCUUAUUAUACUAAA